CUUUAGAAUCAUUCUUUAUGAAUGUCUUUAUUUCGAGAUCAUCUGAUCUUAGAAGCUAAGCAGGGUCGGGUCUGGUCAGUACUUGGAUAGGAGACCACCUAGGAAUACCAGGUGCUGUAGGCG
rnacentral:rRNA from 1 species